UGAGGAAUAUUGCACAAUGGGGGAAACCCUGAUGCAGCAACGCCGCGUGGAGGAUGACGCAUUUCGGUGUGUAAACUCCUUUUAUAUGUCAAGAAAAUGACGGUAGCAUAUGAAUAAGCACCGGCUAACUCCGUGCCAGCAGCCGCGGUAAUACGGAGGGUGCAAGCGUUACUCGGAAUCACUGGGCGUAAAGGACGCGUAGGCGGGUUUUCAAGUCAGAUGUGAAAUCCUAUGGCUCAACCAUAGAACUGCAUUUGAAACUGGGAACCUAGAGUAUGGGAGGGGGAGAUGGAAUUAGUGGUGUAGGGGUAAAAUCCGUAGAUAUCACUAGGAAUACCUAAAGCGAAGGCGAUCUCCUGGAACAUUACUGACGCUAAGGCGUGAAAGCGUGGGGAGCAAACA
rnacentral:rRNA from 1 species